GGUUAAGUGACUAAGCGUACACGGUGGAUGCCUUGGCAGUCAGAGGCGAUGAAAGACGUAGUAACUUGCGAUAAGCCCAGAUUAGGUAGUAACAACCAUUUGAGUCUGGGAUUUCUGAAUGGGGAAACCCACUUACAUAAGUAAGUAUCAUUAACUGAAUACAUAGGUUAAUGAGGCGAACCGGGGGAACUGAAACAUCUAAGUACCCCGAGGAAAAGAAAUCAACCGAGAUUCCGAAAGUAGCGGCGAGCGAAAUUGGACUAGCCCUUAAGCUUUACACGCGUUAGACGAACGGUCUGGAAAGUCCGACGAUACAGGGUGAUAGUCCCGUAGUUGACGAUGUGUGUUCAGUGAAAUCGAGUAGGGCGGGACACGUGAUAUCCUGUCUGAAUAUGGGGGGACCAUCCUCCAAGGCUAAAUACUACUGACUGACCGAUAGUGAACCAGUACCGUGAGGGAAAGGCGAAAAGAACCCCUGUGAGGGGAGUGAAACAGAACCUGAAACCGUGUACGUACAAGCAGUAGGAGCAGGCUUUGUCCUGUGACUGCGUACCUUUUGUAUAAUGGGUCAGCGACUUAUAUUCAGUGGCAAGGUUAACCAUCUAGGGGAGCCGUAGGGAAACCGAGUCUUAACUGGGCGCUUCAGUCUCUGGAUAUAGACCCGAAACCAGGUGAUCUAGCCAUGGGCAGGUUGAAGGUUGAGUAACAUCAACUGGAGGACCGAACCGACUAAUGUUGAAAAAUUAGCGGAUGACUUGUGGCUAGGGGUGAAAGGCCAAUCAAACCUGGAGAUAGCUGGUUCUCCCCGAAAGCUAUUUAGGUAGCGCCUCGGACGAAUACUACUGGGGGUAGAGCACUGUUAAGGCUAGGGGGUCAUCCCGACUUACCAACCCUUUGCAAACUCCGAAUACCAGUAAGUACUAUCCGGGAGACACACGGCGGGUGCUAACGUCCGUCGUGGAGAGGGAAACAACCCAGACCGCCAGCUAAGGUCCCAAAUUACUACUAAGUGGGAAACGAUGUGGGAAGGCUCAGACAGCCAGGAUGUUGGCUUAGAAGCAGCCAUCAUUUAAAGAAAGCGUAAUAGCUCACUGGUCGAGUCGGCCUGCGCGGAAGAUGUAACGGGGCUAAGUAGUAAACCGAAGCUGCGGCAAUGUGCUUUUGCACAUUGGGUAGGGGAGCGUUCUGUAAGCGGUUGAAGGUGUGUGGUAACGCAUGCUGGACGUAUCAGAAGUGCGAAUGCUGACAUGAGUAACGAUAAAGGGGGUGAAAAACCUCCUCGCCGGAAGACCAAGGGUUCCUGUCCAACGUUAAUCGGGGCAGGGUAAGUCGACCCCUAAGGCGAGGCCGAAAGGCGUAGUCGAUGGGAAACGGGUUAAUAUUCCCGUACUUCUUACAAUUGCGAUGGGGGGACGGAGAAGGCUAGGUGGGCCUGGCGACGGUUGUCCAGGUUCAAGUGCGUAGGCUUAAGAGUUAGGUAAAUCCGGCUCUUUCUAAGGCUGAGACACGACGUCGAGCACCUACGGGUGUGAAGUCAUUGAUGCCAUGCUUCCAGGAAAAGCCUCUAAGCUUCAGAUUGUAAGGAAUCGUACCCCAAACCGACACAGGUGGUCGGGUAGAGAAUACCAAGGCGCUUGAGAGAACUCGGGUGAAGGAACUAGGCAAAAUGGUACCGUAACUUCGGGAGAAGGUACGCUCUUGAUGGUGAAGUCCCUUGCGGAUGGAGCUGACGAGAGUCGCAGAUACCAGGUGGCUGCAACUGUUUAUUAAAAACACAGCACUGUGCAAAAUCGUAAGAUGACGUAUACGGUGUGACGCCUGCCCGGUGCCGGAAGGUUAAUUGAUGGGGUUAGACUUCGGUCGAAGCUCUUGAUCGAAGCCCCGGUAAACGGCGGCCGUAACUAUAACGGUCCUAAGGUAGCGAAAUUCCUUGUCGGGUAAGUUCCGACCUGCACGAAUGGCGUAAUGAUGGCCACGCUGUCUCCACCCGAGACUCAGUGAAAUUGAAAUCGCUGUGAAGAUGCAGUGUACCCGCGGCUAGACGGAAAGACCCCGUGAACCUUUACUACAGCUUGGCACUGAACAUUGACCCUACAUGUGUAGGAUAGGUGGGAGGCUUUGAAGCACGUACGCCAGUAUGUGUGGAGCCGUCCUUGAAAUACCACCCUUGUAGUGUUGAUGUUCUAACGUCGACCCCUUAUCGGGGUUGCGGACAGUGCCUGGUGGGUAGUUUGACUGGGGCGGUCUCCUCCCAAAGAGUAACGGAGGAGCACGAAGGUGGGCUAAUCACGGUUGGACAUCGUGAGGUUAGUGCAAUGGCAUAAGCCCGCUUGACUUGAUACUUUAAGUAUCCUAAAGGGUUGUCGGAGACUACGACGUUGAUAGGUCAGGUGUGUAAGUGCUGUGAGGCAUUGAGCUAACUGAUACUAAUUGCCCGUGAGGCUUAACCAU
rnacentral:rRNA from 1 species